AUUGAACGCUGGCGGCAUGCCUUACACAUGCAAGUCGAACGGCAGCACGGGAGCAAUCCUGGUGGCGAGUGGCGAACGGGUGAGUAAUGCAUCGGAACGUACCCGGAAGUGGGGGAUAACGUAGCGAAAGUUACGCUAAUACCGCAUAUUCUGUGAGCAGGAAAGCGGGGGAUCUUCGGACCUCGUGCUUUCGGAGCGGCCGAUGUCGGAUUAGCUAGUUGGUGGGGUAAAGGCCUACCAAGGCGACGAUCCGUAGCAGGUCUGAGAGGGUGAUCUGCCACAGUGGGACUGAGACACGGCCCAGACUCCUACGGGAGGCAGCAGUGGGGAAUUUUGGACAAUGGGCGCAAGCCUGAUCCAGCCAUGCCGCGUGAGUGAAGAAGGCCUUCGGGUUGUAGAGCUCUUUUGUCAGGGAAGAAAUGGUUUGGGCUAAUACCCUGAAUCGAUGACGGUACCUGAAGAAUAAGCACCGGCUAACUACGUGCCAGCCGCCGCGGUAACAC
rnacentral:rRNA from 1 species